rnacentral:rRNA from 1 species
AAAAGGAAGCGAUUCCGGCGGAGGAUGGGCAUGCGGCGCAUUAGCUUGUUGGCGGGGUAACGGCCCACCAAGGCGACGAUGCGUAGGGGUUCUGAGAGGAAGGUCCCCCACACUGGUACUGAGACACGGACCAGACUCCUACGGGAGGCAGCAGUGAGGAAUAUUGGUCAAUGGGCGGGAGCCUGAACCAGCCAAGUCGCGUGAGGGAAGACGGUCCUAUGGAUUGUAAACCUCUUUAGGCGGGGAGCAAUGCCGGGCACGCGUGCCCGGAGGGAGAGUACCCGCAGAAUAAGCAUCGGCUAACUCCGUGCCAGCAGCCGCGGUAAUACGGAGGAUGCGAGCGUUAUCCGGAUUUAUUGGGUUUAAAGGGUGCGUAGGCGGAUUUUUAAGUCAGCGGUAAAAUGUCCGGGCUCAACCCGGGCCGGCCGUUGAAACUGGGGAUCUUGAGUGGGCGAGAAGUAUGCGGAAUGCGUGGUGUAGCGGUGAAAUGCAUAGAUAUCACGCAGAACUCCGAUUGCGAAGGCAGCAUACCGGCGCCCGACUGACGCUGAGGCACGAAAGCGUGGGGAUCGAACAGGAUUAGAUACCCUGGUAGUCCACGCAGUAAACGAUGAAUGCUAGUUGUCCGGUUCUUUGGGACUGG